rnacentral:rRNA from 1 species
UACGUAGGGUGCGAGCGUUGUCCGGAAUUAUUGGGCGUAAAGGGCUCGUAGGCGGUCUGUCGCGUCGGUAGUGAAAACUCAGGGCUUAACCCUGAGCCUGCUUCCGAUACGGGCAGACUAGAGGUAUGCAGGGGAGAAUGGAAUUCCUGGUGUAGCGGUGAAAUGCGCAGAUAUCAGGAGGAACACCGGUGGCGAAGGCGGUUCUCUGGGCAUUACCUGACGCUGAGAGACGAAAGCUAGGGGAGCGAAUGGG